UCGGAAUUACUGGGCGUAAAGGGCUCGUAGGCGGCCAACUAAGUCGGACGUGAAAUCCCUCAGCUUAACUGGGGAACUGCGUCCGAUACUGGAUGGCUUGGAUUUGGGAGAGGGAUGCGGAAUUCCAGGUGUAGCGGUGAAAUGCGUAGAUAUCUGGAGGAACACCGGUGGCGAAGGCGGCAUCCUGGACCAAUAUUGACGCUGAGGAGCGAAAGCCAGGGGAGCAAACGGG
rnacentral:rRNA from 1 species